CAAUAGCGUAUAUUAAAGUUGUUGCGGUUAAAAAGCUCGUAGUUGGAUUUGUGGCUGUCACGGGCGGCCUAUCACUUAGUGUUAGUGCUUGCCUGUGUCGCCAUCCUUGGGUGGAGCCCGUGUGGCAUUAGGUUGUCGUGCGGGGGAUGCCCAUCGUUUACUGUGAGAAAAUUAGAGUGUUCAAAGCAGGCUUAUGCCAUUGAAUAUGUUAGCAUGGAAUAAUAAGAUAGGACCUCGGUACUAUUUUGUUGGUUUGCGCACCGAGGUAAUGAUUAAUAGGGACAGUUGGGGGUAUUCGUAUUUCAUUGUCAGAGGUGAAAUUCUUGGAUUUCUGAAAGACGAACUACUGCGAAAGCAUUUACCAAGGAUGUUUUCAUUAA
rnacentral:rRNA from 1 species